GAAAUGCGAUAAGUAGUGUGAAUUGCAGAAUUCAGUGAAUCAUCGAAUCUUUGAACGCACAUUGCGCCCCUUGGUAUUCCAUGGGGCAUGCCUGUUCGAGCGUCAUUUGUACCUUCAAGCUUUGCUUGGUGUUGGGUGUUUGUCUCGCCUCUGCGUGUAGACUCGCCUCAAAACAAUUGGCAGCCGGCGUAUUGAUUUUGGAGCGCAGUACAUCUCGCGCUUUGCACUCAUAACGACGACGUCCAAAAGUACAUUUUUACACUCUUGACCUCGGAUCAGGUAGGGAUACCCGCUGAACUUAAGC
rnacentral:misc_RNA from 1 species